CCCUUUGCAAGCGGCCCGACGGCGCCUAUAUCAGAGAUGUUCCUCAGGGAACUAUGGGCAUAAACGCGCAUGUAAUAAACGGAUCGGACCCGGGGGCGGUACCCGGCGGCUCCACCAAACAUCCCUUCGUUGGGGGAAAAUGGGGCCGAAACAGGAUCGACGAACGCGUAAAGAUGUAGCUUUGUCCCGGUGAGAUACCACCGUUAUCGGUUCACAAAGUACAAUUGCCAACGACAAUCGUGCUCCGGUUGCAGUUGCUGCGUAAGCAGUGACGAGACCGAAAUCUAAGUCCUUGCGCCUAGCAGCGUAAGGCGGGGUUCGCAGGCACCUGGCAACAGAAGCCUGCACU
rnacentral:tmRNA from 14 species